rnacentral:rRNA from 1 species
ACUCAAAUGAAUUGACGGGGACCCGCACAAGCGGUGGAGCAUGUUGUUUAAUUCGAAGCAACGCGAAGAACCUUACCUACCCUUGACAUACCGGUUGGGACUGCCAGAGAUGGCGGUUUUCAUUUAGUUGGACCGGAUACAGGUGCUGCAUGGCUGUCGUCAGCUCGUGUCGUGAGAUGUUGGGUUAAGUCCCUCAACGAGCGCAACCCCUAUUGUUAGUUGCCAUCAGGUUAUGCUGGGCACUCUAGCGAGACUGCCGGUGACAAGCCGGAGGAAGGCGGGGAUGAUGUCAAGUCAUCAUGGCCCUUACGGGUAGGGCUACAAACGUGCUACAAUGGUGGUGACAGUGGGCUGCGAGGCUGCAAAGCCAAGCCAAUCCCCAAAAGCCAUCUCAGUUCAGAUUGUCCUCUGCAACUCGAGGGCAUGAAGUCGGAAUCGCUAGUAAUCGUGGAUCAGCAUGCCACGGUGAAUACGUUCCCGGGUCUUGUACACACCGCCCGU